CCUAUUUCCCAAAUCUCCCCUCUCCACCGCAGGCCACCGAUCUCCACCCGUGACCCAGCAAACCGUCGACCCCAGAUGAACGGCGCCCGCGACCCAUCUCCAUCUCUUCCGACCGACACCGUCCCAGCGACCCAUUUCUCUCUCUCUCUCUCUCUCUCUCUCUCUCUCUCUCUCUCUGACCCAGCAAACCAAGCAUCGCCUACGAGCACCGCGGAUCUCCGACCAUGUCCGACGAGGAGCACCAGCGCCGACCACUGCAGAUCUCCAACUCUACGGUCACUCUCUCUCCAUUUUUAUGGGAUUUGUUAUGAGAUAGGCAUUUCAUUACUAGGCUUUGCUAAAAAUUCUAUGUAAAUAAUCUAACUAACCUUAUCCUUAUAAAGAGAUUUGCUAUCUUUGACUUAUUGCCCUUGUCACUGUUAACAUGAAGGCACCACAACAGAUAAACAAGAGAAAAUGGGCGUUUUGGGUGAAGACGUAAAGUAUUUGGGCGUUUAGGGGAAAUGUUGAGUGCUCCAGUGUGACGAAUUGAUGAAAUUCUUGCUUUGCCCCAUUUGGUAGAUGAUUUUAAGGGUCAAGAGGUUCCUCCUUUUGAUGAUGAUUCUUGGCUUUACAAUGGAGAGGACGAGUUAAACUAUGCUCUUUUUGAGAGGCAAAAGGAGAUGGACCUCUAUGAUUGAAAACGUAAAAAGAAACAGAAAGGGAAUGAAGAUACUGGUCCUUCUUCCAGUUUUAAUGUUGAUGAGGCUGCUCUUGGUGAUAUAGCUAAAACCAUGCAGGCUUUUGUCCAUAAGGUUUCAAGCUAUAAGGGAACUGAGGUUCCUGAAGACAGGGAAAAUCAAAUGGCACAGAAGAUAUGGAGGAGGAUUUGAGUCCUGUGGAUGUGGAUGUGAACCUUGUAAAGAGCUUUCUUGAUUCCUUUUCUUCCCAACAAGGACUUCCCGGUCCUGCUUCCAAUUUGCUUGGGCUCAUGGGUGUACAGCUCCCAUGCGAUGACAAGAAGGGGCGAAUGAUUCUCUCUAUGGGCCUCGUCUAGUUUUGUAUUUUGCUUCCGGUUUAGUUGAGUGGUUUCAGGUGUUUUUUGGAAGAGAAAUAUGGUUUCUUGGUUUUGGGGCAUCAUGUGUAUUUCUUAGAAUUUUAAUUCCUAAACUUGUUAAGAAUUUGGCUCAAAUCAUUCCCAUGACUUGGUAGUUCUGAUGGCACUUUUUUAUUUG